rnacentral:rRNA from 1 species
AUCGAACGCUGGCGGCAGGCCUAACACAUGCAAGUCGAACGAGUGGCGGACGGGUGAGUAAUGUCUGGGAAACGGCCUGAUGGCGGGGGAUAACUACUGGAAACGGUAGCUAAUACCGCAUACCAUCGGAUGUGCCCAGAUGGGAUUAGCUAGUAGGUGGGGUAAAGGCUGACCUAGGCGACGAUCCCUAGCUGGUCUGAGAGGAUGACCAGCCACACUGGAACUGAGACCCGGUCCAGACUCCUACGGGAGGCAGCAGUGGGGAAUAUUGCACAAUGGGCGAAAGCCUGAGGCAGCCAUGCCGCGUGUAUGAAGAGGGCCUUCGUGUUGUAAGGUACUUUCAGCGGGGAGGCGUUACCCGCAGAAGAAGCACCGGCUAACUCCGUGCCGGCAGCCGCGGUAAUAC